CAAAACCUGGGGUUGGCUUUUUUGGGGGGGGACAUCUUACUUCACUGGUGGGCUUUCUUGUUGUUGUUGCCAGGGUGAAAACGGCACCCCAGGGGCUCCUGGACCUCCUGGUGAGGAAGGCAAAAGAGGUGCAAAUGGUGAACCCGGCCAGAAUGGUGUACCUGGUACUCCAGGAGAAAGGGGCUCCCCUGGUUUCCGUGGCUUACCCGGUAGCAAUGGACUUCCAGGUGAAAAGGUAAAAGUCCUCCUCUAAAAAAAUGUCAAACUUCUGGAGAUUUCACAUGAAUUUGAAUGGAUGAUUUCAGAUUCAAUAUGAUGCUGAUUUCCUUGCUGUGAAUUUUAACAUCUCUUUCUUUAGGGUCCUGCAGGUGAACGCGGUAGCCCAGGUCCUCCUGGCCCCAGUGGACCAGCAGGAGAGCGUGGACAAGAUGGAGGCCCAGGUCUUCCCGGAAUGAGAGUAAGACAGUACAUCUCCAAGAAAAUGAGAUAAACUCUAUUAGAGAUACCUCAUCUGAUCUGAUACAAUAGAGGAGUCCAAUUAGAAAAAAAUUCUAUUAAUUCCUUUAAGUAGAAUAUAGUGCAAUAGAUAACCAUUCAGACAACAUCUGUUACAAGUGAAUGAGGAAGCUUAUAUGAAGCUGAACGUGCUCCCCAGUUCUCAGGGUGUGCCAUGUACUGUCAUGAGAUGUGGCUUUAAUGUGCAUUAGCGUUGGAUGAUUUUCUGUAUUGUCUACAUAUUAGCAAAUUUUAUAAUUUAUUAUAAAAUUGAUGACGUUUCUUAUAUUUAAUAAGUAUUUGGGUUACUGUUUUUAAAUAUAUUUAUAUUUAAAUUACUAUUUAAAUAGGCUUACAUUUAAAAUUUUAAUAAUCACGGAAUCACAGAAUCUUCUAGGUUGGAAGGGACCUUAAAGAUCAUCUUGUCCAACCGUCAACCUAACUCUGACAAAAAUAGACACCCGCACAACAAACAAAAAGCAACACCAAUUUAUACAUUAACUUAAAUAUUUCAGUAUAAUUUAUUCAGUGUUUAACUUAUAUUUACUGCUUAUUUGCAAUUAAAGCAAAUAAUCUCUUGGUCAGAUUUUCAUAGUACCUAAUAACAUUAUCAGAGAGAACCUAUCGUGUAAUAUGUACAGAAUGUAACGAUAUUCUGUGAGCUAUACUAAGAAAUAGCAACUGCUGAC
rnacentral:lncRNA from 1 species